rnacentral:rRNA from 1 species
ACGGGAGGCAGCAGUGGGGAAUUUUGGACAAUGGGGGCAACCCUGAUCCAGCCAUGCCGCGUGUGUGAAGAAGGCCUUCGGGUUGUAAAGCACUUUCGGACGGAACGAAAUCGCGCGAUCUAAUAAGUCGCGUGGAUGACGGUACCGUAAGAAGAAGCACCGGCUAACUACGUGCCAGCAGCCGCGGUAAUACGUAGGGUGCGAGCGUUAAUCGGAAUUACUGGGCGUAAAGUGUGCGCAGGUGGCUGAGCAAGUCGAGUGUGAAAUCCCCGGGCUUAACUUGGGAAUUGCGCUCGAAACUACUUGGCUCGAGUGUGGCAGAGGAAGGUGGAAUUCCAGGUGUAGCGGUGAAAUGCGUAGAGAUCUGGAGGAACACCGAUGGCGAAGGCAGCCUUCUGGGCCAACACUGACGCUCAUGCACGAAAGCGUGGGGAGCAAACAGGAUUAGAUACCCUGGUA